GAAGAUACCUUCGGGAUAGAUAAGGCCGGUAGAAAGUGGCGACCGGGAUGAGUAGCGCGUGGGUAAUCUACCCUGGAAGGAGGGGGAUAACCCUCCGAAAGGAGGGGCUAAUGCCGCAUAACAUCUUCCCUUCAUAAGAAGGAGAGAAUAAAAGAAAGGCCUCUUUAUAUGCUAUCACUUCAGGAUGAGUCCGCGUCCUAAUAGUUAGAUUGGUAGGGUAAUGGCCUACCAAGACCACAAUGGAGAUAACCAGUCUGAGAGGAUGUACGGCCACACUGGGACUGAGAUACGGCCCAGACUCCUACGGGAGGCAGC
rnacentral:rRNA from 1 species